GGACCCGCACAAGUAGUGGAGCAUGUGGUUUAAUUCGAAGAUACGCGCAGAACCUUACCAACACUUGACAUGUUCGUCGCGACUCUAAGAGAUUAGAGUUUUCGGUUCGGCCGGACGAAACACAGGUGCUGCAUGGCUGUCGUCAGCUCGUGUCGUGAGAUGUUGGGUUAAGUCCCGCAACGAGCGCAACCCUCACUUUUUAGUUGCCAUCAUUAAGUUGGGCACUCUAGAGAGACUGCCGGUGACAAACCGGAGGAAGGUGGGGACCGACGGUCAAGUCAUCAUGGCCCUUACGGCCUGGGCUACACACGUGCUACAAUGGCUAGGACAGAGCGGCCGCAAACCCCGCGAGGGGGAGCCAA
rnacentral:rRNA from 1 species